UCCUCCACAUCGCAAAGAAAUAUCACUCUCCAAAAUAUCCAGAAAAGCUCUCAAAUUUCACUACAAAGCUCAAAUUUAGCAACGCAAAUCCCUGGAAUCGCAUCAAAUCCAGAAAUCCAAUUCUCAAAAUCCUCUUCCACAUGUAAAAAUCCUUUCUUUUGGUGCUGGGAUUCCUGCUAAUAACUAAUUUGGGGAAACCAAUAACCAUGGAUGGAGUGUUGGUGAAAGAGGAGGAGGUUGUGACAUGCACCGUCGGCUCAUCGUCUUCGUCGUCCUCAAGCUUCUCGCCGCAGCCAAUAGAGGGGCUGCACGAGGUGGGUCCGCCGCCGUUUCUCACGAAGACGUUUGAAAUGGUGGAGGAUCCUUCCACGGACGCCAUUGUUUCCUGGAGCAAAGCUCGCAACAGCUUCGUUGUGUGGGACUAUCACAAGUUCUCCGCCACUCUUCUUCCUCGAUACUUCAAGCACAGUAACUUCUCCAGCUUCAUUCGUCAGCUCAAUACAUAUGGUUUCAGAAAGGUUGAUCCGGACCGAUGGGAAUUCGCAAACGAGGGUUUUCUAGGAGGGCAGAGGCAUUUGCUGAAGACCAUUAAGAGGAGGAGACAUGUCUCGCAGAAUAUGCAACAAGAAGCCGGAGGAGGAGCUUGUGUUGAAUUGGGGCAGUAUGGAGUAGAAACCGAGCUUGAAAGACUGAAAAGAGACCGAAACAUUUUGAUGACGGAGAUUGUGAAGUUGAGGCAGCAACAACAAAAUUCAAGGGAGCAAGUCAUGGCAAUGGAGGGCCGGUUGCUGACCACGGAGAAAAAACAGCAGCAGAUGAUGACUUUCCUUGCUAAAGCACUCAAUAAUCCAUCUUUUCUACAAACCCUUGCUGAGAAGAAUGCCAAGAAUAGAGCACUGCACGGUAUUGGUAGAAAGCGGAGACUGGCUGCUAGUCCCAGUCUUGAGAAUCUGCAAGAAGCGCCUAGAAUCGACGUUGUGGACUACUCUGCAAGCCAGGAUCUGGGAGAGUUGGCAACUAUGGAACCAGAUAUUGAGAACUUUUUCUCAACUGCUGCAUUGGACAACAAAUCGACCAGUGGUUUCAAAGACCGUAAACCGAGCUUAGUACCCGCAAGUACUGGUGGAGGCAACUUGGAUUCUGUUGAUGAGACCAUAUGGGAGGAGCUGUGGAGUGAUGACCUCAUUGGUGGCAACCCGGAGGAGGAAGCUGCUGCGGUGGGCGAGGAAUCAGAAGUCGACGUUGAGGUGGAGGAUUUGGUUGCAGAGCCUGCAGAUUGGGGUGAGGACUUGCAAGACCUUGUUGAUCAAAUGGGUUAUCUAAUCCGGCCCAAGCCGUGAUGACGGUAACAAAAGUGUCUGAUGAUGAUGAAGUGCAAUGUGUGCUGAGUUGGUCCCCUGCAACUCCAUUCCUAUAUCUAUAUAUUGAUGGGAGUGGUGAAUGUUGCAAAGGGGCCAACUCAAAUGCUGCUGUUUCUUUGUAUCCUUUGAUGAUUGCGUUCAAUAAAUGCUACUUGUACUUUCUAAAUGUGUGUGUCUUUGUAUCCACUGGUCUUGAUUUCCUGUUUCUUCUUUCGUGCAUUGCAGGCGGAGGAGGAGCCAUCGGAGACCUGUGAAGGGUUUCGGUACUUUUGAUGUAGCUUCAGAUCGACGUAGCUAGUGCAUAUAGCAGUUAGCAGUUAAGUUAGUUAAGUCAGUUAGCUGUUGAGAGUUGCUGCUUGUGUAUCUACUUAUCACAAACACCAGUUAUGCAGAUGUAAUAUUAGUGUCUUGUUCUUUAAGCUCAAUUUUGUAACUAUAAUUUUUAUGAAAUAUAUAACUCAUAUUAGUAAAGUUGAUGACUUUAUAUUCA